rnacentral:rRNA from 1 species
UACAGAGGGGGCAAGCGUUUGUUCGGAAUUACUGGGCGUAAAGGGCGCGUAGGCGGCCCGCUAAGUCGAACGUGAAAUCCCCCGGGCUUAACCCGGGAACUGCGUCCGAUACUGGGCAGGCUUGAAUCCGGGAGAGGGAUGUGGAAUUCCAGGUGUAGCGGUGAAAUGCGUAGAUAUCUGGAGGAACACCGGUGGCGAAGGCGGCAUCCUGGACCGGUAUUGACGCUGAGGCGCGAAAAGCUAGGGGGAGCAAACGGGG